rnacentral:miRNA from 3 species
CAAAACGUGAGGCGCUGCUAUA